AGCUAUCAACACCCUCAGGUGGUGGAGGAAGGGGACCUACAGGGAGAGGUCGAGGCUCGGGACGGCCUCGAAGAGGAGGAGUACAGGAAGGUGGAGCGAAUGGUCCAUCCAGAUAAAUGAAUUGAGGCUGGAAGAAGAAAUUGAUUUCCCUAAGAUCUCACCAGGAGCAAUUGUCAGAGCUGGAAUUUGAACUAGGCCUGUUGCAGUCUGACUCCAGAGCCUAAACUCCUAAUUCUUGGUAUAAACUGCCUCCCAUCCUGACAGCUACAGGGUCCAGAGUGUGGGCACACGUGGUCCUGGAAAAUCCUCACAGACAUCCCAGAAAUAGGAAUGGUGUCAACACCCAUUGGAGCAGACAACCAAGGCUCAUAGAGCUGAAGACACUCAGCUCACAUAGCUGGUCUGUGGCUAAGCAAGGAGUAGAAUGAAUAUCACAUAACCUUC